CGUUGCUGGCAGGACUUACACGUGCAGCCAAAGAAUUCAAUUGACGACUAGGAUCAAGGAUUAUCUCAACCUUCAUUUUUCUAGUGCCAUCAACCAAACGACCCUCAUACUGUUCAUAAGCUCGAGUGGCAUCACCAGGACGAGAAAAAAUGAUAGUUGCAAUACCUUUCGAACGACCGUUGGGACCGUAAGCCAAGGAAACGCGUUUGCAAGGUCCUAUGGAUUUCACAAAAAGCUCCUUAACUUGAGCCUCGGUAACGUCAGUAGGUAAGUUAGAAACAAUAAUUUUAGAUUCCUCAGAAAUGACGGAUUUAAGGGCAGAGGCAGUGUUCACUGCGGGUUUCGCGUUCUUUGUUGGCUUUGGCUUGUUAGAGCGCGCACGACGCUUUCUAAUACCUCCUUUAGGCUUUGAAGCAAUUAUGGCGUCCAAGGACUGAUCUAAUUCCAUAGACAUUUUUAUCGAGUUACUGUUGGGUAGUUAGUUGUU